rnacentral:rRNA from 1 species
AUGGAGGUGCACUGCAGCAGCAACAUGGAGGAGAACAAGCAGCAUAGCUGGAAGAAGAUUUCAAGUGCAAAGCAGUACAAGGACGGCUGGCCGCCGGGCAAUGAGACGCCGGAGAAAGGAGUAAGCCAGGGGCGGAGGAGAGAACUGAGGCGGUCAGCAUCGUUGCCGGUGCGGGUGGCGAGCGCGGCGAGGGAGCAGCGGGCGAGGCUCUACAUCAUGCGUCGCUGCGUCUCCAUCCUCGUCUCCUCCUGCUGGAAGAACUACCCAUAA